rnacentral:rRNA from 1 species
CUGUGAAACAAGAUACAGACCAGCGGCGGACGGGUGAGUAGCACGUGGGUAACCUGCCCAAGAGAUCGGGAUAACACCUGGAAACAGAUGCUAAUACCGGAUAACAACAGAUGAUGCCUAUCAACUGUUUAAAAGAUGGUUCUGCUAUCACUCUUGGAUGGACCUGCGGUGCAUUAGCUAGUUGGUAGGGUAACGGCCUACCAAGGCGAUGAUGCAUAGCCGAGUUGAGAGACUGAUCGGCCACAUUGGGACUGAGACACGGCCCAAACUCCUACGGGAGGCAGCAGUAGGGAAUCUUCCACAAUGGACGCAAGUCUGAUGGAGCAACGCCGCGUGAGUGAAGAAGGGUUUCGGCUCGUAAAGCUCUGUUGUUGGUGAAGAAGGACAGGGGUAGUAACUGACCUUUGUUUGACGGU